CCCGCUGAACUUAAGCAUAUCACUAAGCGGAGGAAAAGAAAUUAACUAAGAUUGCCUCAGUAACGGCGAGUGAAGCGGCAAGAGCCCAAGCUGGAAAUCUUCACACUGCGUGUGACGAAUUGUAAUCUAAAGAGGGUUCGCUCAACGGGCGGUGGCGCAGAAGUGCCUUAGAACGGGCCGCCAGAGAGGGUGACAGCCCCGUAUGUGGUGCCACUGCCUAACGAGCGGGUCCCCGAAGAGUCGGGUUGUUUUGUAUUGCAGCCCUAAGUGGGAGAUAAACUUCUUCUAAGGCUAAAUACCUAUGGGAAACCGAUAGCGAACAAGUACUGUGAAGGAAAGAUGAAAAGAACUUUGAAAAGAGAGUCAAAAGACUUGAAAUCGUUGAGAAGGAAGCGGUAGAAAUUUAUUCUUCGGCGGUGAACGGUGACUUCUGCCUAUCCAUUGCCGGCUGCCAGCACUUCAUAAGGCUGCGGCUGGCACAUGGGGAAGCGGCUGUCUUGUUCUCCGUCGUGAGGCAAAAUGAGGUCGCACAUCCGCAGAGGCUUCCCAAACCUGGCCCGAUUCGUCGGGUAGUUUGGGUUCGCCGGUGGGCGUGCGGCCUGAGGGUGCUUCGUGCGAUUUUGCCAAAAUGGUUUUUACCGACCCGUCUUGAAACACGG
rnacentral:rRNA from 1 species